UACGGGGGGGGCAAGCGUUGUUCGGAUUUACUGGGCGUAAAGGGCGCGUAGGCGGCCUGUGCAAGUCAGUUGUGAAAUCUCCGGGCUUAACUCGGAACGGUCAACUGAUACUGCUCGGCUAGAGUGCGGAAGGGGCAACUGGAAUUCUUGGUGUAGCGGUGAAAUGCGUAGAUAUCAAGAGGAACACCUGCGGCGAAGGCGGGUUGCUGGGCCGACACUGACGCUGAAGUGCGAAAGCCAGGGGAGCAAACGGG
rnacentral:rRNA from 1 species